GACAGAGGUGGCAAGCGUUGUUCGGAUUUAUUGGGUGUAAAGGGCAGGUAGGUGGCUGAGCAAGUCCGAUGUGAAAUCCCAGAGCUCAACUCUGGAACUGCAUUGGAUACUGCUUGGCUUGAGUAUCGGAGAGGUAAGAGGAAUUCUCGGUGUAAGGGUGAAAUCUGUAGAUAUCGAGAGGAACACCAGUGGCGAAGGCGUCUUACUGGCCGAUUACUGACACUGAGCUGCGAAAGCAAGGGGAG
rnacentral:rRNA from 1 species